CGCGAAGAACCUUACCAGCUCUUGACAUCUUCUGCCAACUCUAGAGAUAGAGCGUUCCCUUCGGGGACAGAAUGACAGGUGGUGCAUGGUUGUCGUCAGCUCGUGUCGUGAGAUGUUGGGUUAAGUCCCGUAACGAGCGCAACCCUUAUUGUUAGUUGCCAGCAUUCAGUUGGGCACUCUAGCGAGACUGCCGGUGAUAAACCGGAGGAAGGCGGGGAUGACGUCAAAUCAUCAUGCCCCUUAUGAGCUGGGCUACACACGUGCUACAAUGGAUGGUACAACGAGUCGCGAGACCGCGAGGUUUAGCUAAUCUCCUAAAGCCAUUCUCAGUUCGGAUUGCAGGCUGCAACUCGCCUGCAUGAAGUCGGAAUCGCUAGUAAUCGCAGAUCAGAACGCUGCGGUGAAUUCGUUCCCGGGUCUUGUACACACC
rnacentral:rRNA from 1 species